GUUCUAUGUUUAGUAGUUGAUUAAAAGACCCUCUUAUUUCUACAGUGGAGUAGACCUCUGCUACACUGAGCCACCCACUCCCAUCAAUACUCAACACCAUGCCACCUGCAAGCUCCAAACAUUUGCCACUUUCCUCACUCACCAUUGUGGAGGGUUCCUAUGUGAGCAUUCCUCACCAAACAUACUCCACGCCUUACUAAAGUAAGCUACCACUCUCUCAGGGGUACAUGUAAGAUAAACAAGUCAUUCAUCUCUCUAUGUAAUGUCCAAUAUAUAGGAAGCAAAAACAGUCUAAAAAUUAAAAUCUUACAAGAAAACACAAAUUGUACUGGAAAAUUUACUAUAUCUUAUAAACUGAAACAUAUUUAAUUACCUUCUUGCAACCUUCACGUGUGGUAAAGGUGGAAUGAAUAAGUUGUUGUAAAUGUAUUACACAGGUUUAAAAGAAGCAAAAAAAAAAAAAAAAGACCCACUUUACACACUCCUCAUGCUUUAAGGAAUAUUGUAAAUUUUUCU